rnacentral:rRNA from 1 species
GGCGUGCUAAUCUGCGAUAAGCGCCGGUAAGGUGAUAUGAACCGUUAUAACCGGCGAUACCCGAAUGGGGAAACCCAGUGUGACUCGUCACACUAUCAUUAACUGAAUCCAUAGGUUAAUGAGGCGAACCGGGGGAACUGAAACAUCUAAGUACCCCGAGGAAAAGAAAUCAACCGAGAUUCCCCCAGUAGCGGCGAGCGAACGGGGAGGAGCCCAGAGCCUGAAUCAGCAUGUGUGUUAGUGGAAGCGUCUGGAAAGGCGCGCGAUACAGGGUGACAGCCCCGUACACAAAAGCGCAUGUGCUGUGAGCUCGAUGAGUAGGGCGGGACACGUGGUAUCCUGUCUGAAUAUGGGGGGACCAUCCUCCAAGGCUAAAUACUCCUGACUGACCGAUAGUGAACCAGUACCGUGAGGGAAAG